GAUGAACGCUAGCGGCAGGCCUAACACAUGCAAGUCGAGGGGCAGCACAUAAAGUGGUUUACUACUUUUGGUGGCGACCGGCGGACGGGUGCGUAACGCGUAUGCAACCUGCCUCCAACAGGGGGAUAACGGAGAGAAAUUUCCACUAAUACCCCAUAAUAACAGAAUCGGCAUCGGUUUUGGUUGAAAACUCCGGUGGUCGGAGAUGGGCAUGCGUUGGAUUAGAUAGUUGGUGAGGUAACGGCUCACCAAGUAAACGAUACAUAGGGGGACUGAGAGGUUAGACACCCACACUGGUACUUAGACACGGACCAGACUCCUACGGGAGGCAGCAGUGAGGAAUAUUGGUCAAUGGGGGCAACCCUGAACCAGCCAUGCCGCGUGCAGGAAGACGGCUCUAUGAGUUGUAAACUGCUUUUACAAGGGGAGAAAUCGGUGUACGUGUACACCGUUGAAGGUACCUUGGGAAUAAGGAUCGGCUAACUCCGUGCCAGCAGCCGCCGUAA
rnacentral:rRNA from 1 species